ACACCCCAGACCGCCAACUAAGUUCCCAAAGUCAUGGUAAAGUGGGAAACGAUGUGGGAAGGCACAGACAGCCAGGAUGUUGGCUUAGAAGCAGCCAUCAUUUAAAGAAAGCGUAAUAGCUCACUGGUCGAGUCGGCCUGCGCGGAAGAUGUAACGGGGCUAAACCAUGCACCGAAGCUGCGGCAGCGACACUAUGUGUUGUUGGGUAGGGGAGCGUUCUGUAAGCCGUUGAAGGUGGCCUGUGAGGGUUGCUGGAGGUAUCAGAAGUGCGAAUGCUGACAUAAGUAACGAUAAAGCGGGUGAAAAGCCCGCUCGCCGGAAGACCAAGGGUUCCUGUCCAACGUUAAUCGGGGCAGGGUGAGUCGACCCCUAAGGCGAGGCCGAAAGGCGUAGUCGAUGGGAAACAGGUUAAUAUUCCUGUACUCGGUGUUACUGCGAAGGGGGGACGGAGAAGGCUAUGUUAGCCGGGCGACGGUUGUCCCGGUUUAAGCAUGUAGGCGGAACGAUUAGGUAAAUCCGGUCGUUUAUUCAACGCUGAGGUGUGACGACGAGGCACUACGGUGCUGAAGUAACAAAUGCCCUGCUUCCAGGAAAAGCCUCUAAGCAUCAGGUAACAACGAAUCGUACCCCAAACCGACACAGGUGGUCAGGUAGAGAAUACCAAGGCGCUUGAGAGAACUCGGGUGAAGGAACUAGGCAAAAUGGUGCCGUAACUUCGGGAGAAGGCACGCUGAUGGUAGGUGAAGUGACUUGCUCAUGGAGCUGAAAUCAGUCGAAGAUACCAGCUGGCUGCAACUGUUUAUUAAAAACACAGCACUGUGCAAACACGAAAGUGGACGUAUACGGUGUGACGCCUGCCCGGUGCCGGAAGGUUAAUUGAUGGGGUUAUCCGUAAGGAGAAGCUCUUGAUCGAAGCCCCGGUAAACGGCGGCCGUAACUAUAACGGUCCUAAGGUAGCGAAAUUCCUUGUCGGGUAAGUUCCGACCUGCACGAAUGGCGUAAUGAUGGCCAGGCUGUCUCCACCCGAGACUCAGUGAAAUUGAACUCGCUGUGAAGAUGCAGUGUACCCGCGGCAAGACGGAAAGACCCCGUGAACCUUUACUAUAGCUUGACACUGAACAUUGAGCCUUGAUGUGUAGGAUAGGUGGGAGGCUUUGAAGCGUGGACGCCAGUCUGCGUGGAGCCAACCUUGAAAUACCACCCUUUAAUGUUUGAUGUUCUAACGUAGACCCGUGAUCCGGGUUGCGGACAGUGUCUGGUGGGUAGUUUGACUGGGGCGGUCUCCUCCCAAAGAGUAACGGAGGAGCACGAAGGUUAGCUAAUCCUGGUCGGACAUCAGGAGGUUAGUGCAAUGGCAUAAGCUAGCUUGACUGCGAGCGUGACGGCGCGAGCAGGUGCGAAAGCAGGUCAUAGUGAUCCGGUGGUUCUGAAUGGAAGGGCCAUCGCUCAACGGAUAAAAGGUACUCCGGGGAUAACAGGCUGAUACCGCCCAAGAGUUCAUAUCGACGGCGGUGUUUGGCACCUCGAUGUCGGCUCAUCACAUCCUGGGGCUGAAGUAGGUCCCAAGGGUAUGGCUGUUCGCCAUUUAAAGUGGUACGCGAGCUGGGUUUAGAACGUCGUGAGACAGUUCGGUCCCUAUCUGCCGUGGGCGCUGGAGAAUUGAGGGGGGCUGCUCCUAGUACGAGAGGACCGGAGUGGACGCAUCACUGGUGUUCGGGUUGUCAUGCCAAUGGCACUGCCCGGUAGCUAAAUGCGGAAGAGAUAAGUGCUGAAAGCAUCUAAGCACGAAACUUGCCCCGAGAUGAGUUCUCCCUGAGACUUUAAGUCUCCUGAAGGAACGUUGAAGACGACGACGUUGAUAGGCCGGGUGUGUAAGCGCAGCGAUGCGUUGAGCUAACCGGUACUAAUGAACCGUGAGGCUUAACCUU
rnacentral:rRNA from 1 species